GCGUCGUGGGCGGACUCCCCGGGAACUGGGGUUAAUUCUCGAUAGGUGAAGACUCCUGGAAUGGAUUUUCGCCCAAAAGACGUUUAGGUCAUGCUUCUAGACGUUGCCCAAGGAUGGGGCCGCGGCCGAUCAGGCUGUCGGUGAGGUAAUGGCUCACCAAACCUUUGACCGGUUCGGGCCGCGGGAGCGGUAGCCCGGAGAUGGGCACUGAGACAAGGGCCCAGGCCCUACGGGGCGCAGCAGUCGCGAAAACUUCGCAAUAAGCGAAAGCUUGACGGGGCUAUCCCGAGUGCCAUCUGCUGAGGAUGGCUUUUACCUAGUAUAGAUAGCUGGGGGAAUAAGGAGAGGGCAAGUCUGGUGUCAGCCGCCGCGGUAAUACCAGCUCUCCGAGUUGUGGGGAUAUUUAUUGGGCCUAAAGCAUCCGUAGCCGGCUGAACAAGUCCCCUGUUAAAUCCAGCGACGAAUCGUUGGCCUGCGGGGGAUACUGCUCGGCUAGGGGGCGGGAGAGGCCGUCGGUAUUCUUGGGGUAGGGGUGAAAUCCUAUAAUCCCAGGAGGACCACCAGUGGCGAAGGCUGUCGGCUAGAACGCGCCCGACGGUGAGGGAUGAAAGCUGGGGGAGCGAACCGGAUUAGAUACCCGGGUAGUCCCAGCUGUAAACGAUGCAGGCUAGGUGUUAGGGCGGCUACGUGCCGCUCUAGUGCCGCAGGGAAGCUGUUAAGCCUGCCGCCUGGGGAGUACGGCCGCAAGGCUGAAACUUAAAGGAAUUGGCGGGGGAGCAC
rnacentral:rRNA from 1 species